rnacentral:lncRNA from 1 species
AGAUUAAGGUGUGUAAAGAGAUGACAUUUGUUUUAUUUAAAGUUCCUAAACUAUGGUUAAUUUGUGUUAGGGACUAAAACUAGGUUGUAAUGUUGUGUUUGGGUUAAGGUGGGAUCCUCAUACCUCAAAGCACUCCCUAAAACCCGUAACCUUUCCUUCUCUCUCUUCUUCUUCCAUUUCAGAUCUCUCUCUCUCACCCUCUCGAACACACGGCAACCACCAAGACCACCACAAAAACACCCUAAACUUCCACCAACGACGGAUUUAAGAGUGCCAUCGUACUCCUGAAGACCAUACGAUCACGAUGAUACCCAUUUCAAGUAAGUUUCACUUCGAAAACCCUAGUUUCUAAAGUUACCGUGAAUGUGUACUGUUCAUGAGCUUUGAAUUGGUUGUGUUUUAGGCCAAACCAAGCUCAUAGUGAGCUUUAGGAAGUCCCAAGGAAGCUCGGAGUGCUUCGUUGGAAGUUUUUGGACGUAAAAACACGGAGAUCGACAAGUUCAAAGUUUGGCCGGAGCUUUCGAGGCAUUUUCCGGCGAAUCCCCGGCGAUUUAGGAGUUGAGGUAGGUAUCAAUCUCUUCGUCUCGUCAAGUACUACAACUUUCCUUUUUGUUUUACUCAAUUUCGUUGAGUAUUGAAGAAGUUAUACUCAUUUGAAAAAUACCCAGUUUCCGGCGACCUCCGAGGCUUUCGAGGCAGUUUCCGGCCAAACCACGGCGAACUAGGUGUUGUGCAAGGUACCAUUCUCUUUGUCUCUUCAAGGGCUACAACUUUCGUUUUUGAAUCACUUGAUUUCGUUGAGAAAUGACAAAGUUAUGGCAAUUUGAAAAACUGCCCGGAAAACGGCCGCCGGAAAAACCAGUCCGGCGACCCAAGGAAGAAGAAGGUGCUACAGUAAAAAUAAAAAAUAAAAAUAAAAUUAUUUUAAAAAUAUGUCGACGUCCGUGACGUCGAGUAGAUCACUGUGGUAUAUUCAUAUACCUAAAUUGAACACCGUAUGAGAAAGUUAUUGAAGAUUGUUGGUUAGGUGUUCAAAUAACGUUUUAUAGUUUUCACAUUUAGGUGAAAAUGUGAAUUGAUGAUCUGACCGUUGGAUCAUCACCAAACUUUGAUACGUUAUAAUACGUAAUAUUUGAGGAUUAUUGGAACUUACGGAUUGGGAAUCCGAGUUACGGAUCUUCCGGAAUUGGAAUUGUAAGUCCAUAAUAUAAAAUGUUAACCGUCACUUAGUUUUGGAAAUUGACGGAGAUCCGACCGUUGGAUGGUAAUGAAAUUUUAGGAUGUUGUCCUAGAGGUAUAAUGUGGACCUCUGGAAGUUAUGGAUUUAAAAUCUGAGGGGUGGAUCUUCCGGAUCAAUCUACGUAGUGACGUAUUUUAUAUAAGUUAUAUAUUCUAUCGAUAUGAAUUCUGAGGUUGGAAUUGAUUAUUGUUUUUAGGCGCCGAUCGUCAUGACGCCUUGGCGUAUUGUGCUAGGGAGUUGUUGGAUGAACUCCAGGUGAGUGGGCAGUUUUGUUUUCCGAAUAUAUAUAUAUACUUGACGUUUCCCAGAAAUUGAAUUGAAAUGAAAAUAUGUUUAAAAUGAAAUGCAUAUGAGUUAUGUGGAAAAACGGGAAGUGAAAAUACCAUGCAUAGAAUUGAUAUGAAAAGUAUAUAGAAAUGUGAGUUGAAAUGCCAUGCAUGAAUUAAUAUAUGAUGCAUAUGUAUGAAUUGGUGCGGUGGACGCACAAGUAAGAAUUGAUUUAUGAUGCAUAUGUAUGAAUUGGUGCGGUGGACGCACAAGUAAGAAUUGAUUUAUGAUUGCAUAUGUAUGAAAUGGUGCGGUGGACGCACAGGUGAGUAUUUUAAUUACUGUUAUGAUGAUGAUGAUAUAUAUUGAGCUCAAAUCCUGCACCAUGGUUUAGUGCUUAUAGUAUUCACCGCAUCGCACGCUCGCCUUGGAUCCAAGUAGAUGCUAGUCGUUACAGUCCACGCGGAGUGGGGUACGACAGACCAGUCGCGAGAGUGUUAGUGAGAUUCCGACUGGUGGGUGACCUUAGAUUAUGUGCACAGAUGAUUUAUGAGAAGCACUAGAGCGUAACUUGUGUGCAGAAGGCCGGACGGGUCACAGAGAGGUGACUCCGGUAGAGUGAUAAUGAUAGAUUUUGAGCUCUAGGUUCAACCGUACAGGGCUAUUAGAGGGCCUACGGUUGAUUACUUUCUUGCACCUGAUAUGAUUAUGUUGAUGCAUUCAUACCUUAUUACUGUUGAGAUGAUGUGGCAUGGCAUAAUUAAUAUGAGAAAUGUUGAGAUGACAUGGUAUGGCAUGAUUGAUAAAGAGAUAAUGUUGAGAUAGUAAAAAUGAAGUUUUGAGAAUAUAUAUGUAUAUUUAUAUUUUACAUUUCUGGGAAAGUAUACAGGUUUUACGGAGAGGGGUUACAACGUUUUGAGAAAUGUUUGGAUUUGGAAAAGAAUUGUUUUACUGACCCACUCAAUUUUGGUUUUGCGCCCCUCCAGGUUCAGGAAUCACAAAGGUGUGGUGACUACGAGGAAUUCGACGGUGUUCUGCUGACAGAUUGGACAAAAUUAGGACUCACCUUCGGGUGUAUCAAUUUAAAUUGUAUCUUAAAGCUUCCGUACUGUGCAAAUGGUUACGUCACUCUCACGUGACGGCCAGCAUGCCCUCCUUCGGGACGGGGUGUGUCAGUUGGUAUCAGAGCAUGGUUGCAAUCUUGGACAUCUUGAGAAGUUUAUAGUGAAUUCUGUCAGAACUACACCGCCUCGUAGCAAACCACGUAGUUAGAGGAAUUUAGUCUCCCUGAUUUAGCGGUUUGGGGGAAACUAUUAUUAUGGUGAUUCAGUAUAUUAUCAAAAUGGACAUUUUAAGACGGGUUAUGAGUUGAAUUUGAAUCACCUUAUGAAAUGAUGAACCUGAGGGAGCGAAGUAACGGUUUAACCAUUUGGAAAAGAUGUUUCAGAUUAUGCAAGUCAAAGGAAUCUUCCUUCUGACAGGUGGGUCGAGACGACUACCUGGUUUUGGGUAUGAAAUUGUAUCCUGGUGGAAACAGGAAUGUUAAUUGUUGUCACCAGAGGAAUCAGAUCAGCCGAUUUAAAAUUUUUUAAGGAAAAGUUUAUCCCUCCGGCAUUUAUCGAUGGUAGUAAGCAAGAGUUUGCAAAUGUGAAUCAAGGAAGUUGACGAUAAAGUUAAUGAUUCGUCAUAUCAAGGAUAUAGAAAGAUUCAGAGCUUCGAAAGAAGUGAAGCUAGAGUUAAUUCUUCCAGCUGAGGUUUUAAUGUCGCUGGUCAGAGUAAAAGUGAUGGAUAUACUGGUAAUCCCCAGAUAUUUUGAGACAAGGUGUCUCGAGUAAAGGAAAUGUACUUUGUGCAGCAGGUACAAAAUUAACACUUUGGGAAAUGUGAAAUUAAUGAAUGUGUUUAUGUGAACAGAAGGGACACAGAGUUGUGAAUCGUCCCUAGAAUCAGUUGUACCCAACAAUUUUCUAUGACAUCGUAGUGUCGAUUCAGCAAGUUUAUGAACUUAGUAGUUUGGUCGGAUUGACCGUGGGUACAGAGAGAUUUGAUGAGUUAUAUGUUCAGCCGUACAGACCACGAGAGGUGGAUUUGACUGACACAUGAGAAAUUGGUGAGUUAUAGGCUCGGCCGUACCGACCACGCGGAGUGGAUCUGGCCGACGCAUUAUUGAGAUAAUUGUUGAAUCAGCGUACAAGUCAUUCUAGUUGACUCCGGUUGAUAUAUAUAUAUAUAUAUAUAUUUUAUUAUGAUUGUUAUUACCUUGAGAGUAGUAAAUAAAUGUAGUUGAGAUGAGUGUAUGUAUAUUUUGCAUUGAGUGACAAAAUAGUAAUGUUAUAUCUUUGAGAGUGGUUGCCUACUUAUCGAGACAACGAUGAUUUAUCAGUAUUGCGGGCUGCAGACCCGUAAUAUUAAUAACUCAUUCGUGGAUUCGUUAAGCAAGCAACCCGGUAGAUUAUUUUAUGUUAGUAUUGUACUUAUUUGGAAUGCUUAAUAAUAAUAAAAUAUAUAUUGUAUCAGUUAAUUCUGUUCCAUUAGAUUGGUUGGUUAUAAUUGUGACAAGACGAAAUGUUAUGGGAAACCAGUACUUUCCAUCGAUCUGGAUGAACAGAGAUUACUUUUGUAAGUAUGCAAAGUGGAUUGAGUCAGGCCGUUAUUUAUGCUGUGAGAGCAAAGAGAUUGUUUUCGAAAAGCUGUCAAAAAUACUUAGCUCAUGUGGUGCUAAAUGAUGUUGUUUGGAGUAGUGUGAAUAAUGUCGAAAGGGUUAGACUUUUCUUGAUGUCUUCUCUGAAAGUAUACCUGGAUUGUCUUCAGGCAGAGAUAUGAGGUUCAUUAUUGAUUUGUUGCCAGGUAUAAAUUUAUAUUGGAGAUUGGUUCAUGAUGAGUUAAGGGAAUUGGAAAUUCAGUUGAAAGAAUUGGUUGAUAAAAGUUUUAUUCAACCUAGUACAACACUGUUGAGGAGCACCAGUUUGUUGGUGAGAAAGAAAAUGGACUUUAAAGACUAUUCCUUGAUUAUAGAUAAUGGAGUCGGGUAACGAUUGAGAACCGUUAUCCAUGGUGAUACUGAUGUUUAUUUAACCAGCUCAAAAGUAAUUGCGAAGAUUCAAAGAUUGAAUUGAGAUCUGGUUACUACCAAUUGAAUAUUAUAAGUGACGUUGAUCAUAAGAUGGUUUUCUGGACUUGUUAUAGUUUUUAUGAAGUUUGGUGAUGCUAUAUGGAUACUCAUGCUGUUUUAUGAGUUGAUGGAUGAAGUAUUCCAAUAAUGCCUUGAUAGAUUGAUAUCAUUUUCAUUGAAGAUAUUCUGGCAUAUUCUGAGCCAGAGUAGAGCAUGUAAACGUAUUAAGUCGGUGGAACAAAGAUUGGAAGAAUGUCGGUUGUAUGCUAAGUGUAGCAAAUGCUAAAGUUAGAUGAAUCAGGUGGCAUUCUAAGAUUUGUUAUAUAUUCUUAAGGUAUUCAAGUGAAUCCUUAAAAGGUAACAGAAAUUAAAAUUUGGAACAACCACGAGUCGUAAUUGAGAUUUGGAAUUUCUUAGCUUACCAGGCUAUCUUGGAUGGUUGUGAAAGAUUUUUCAGUCAUUGCUUUGUCAUUGACGAGACUGUUGAGAAAAGAGGUUAGGUAUGAGUGGGAAGGAAUUGUAAGCAAAGGAUUCAACAACUGAAGUAUUUCCUCACUCAUGCACGUAUUUUGGUAUUCCCAGAGAAUAGUGGUAAUCAUAAAUUUUUAGUGAUGUUUCUUGAAUGGUAUUGGAGGCAUGUUGAUGCAAAUGUUAGGGUGAUUGCAUACGUUUCACGAUAAAAGGAACCUCAUGAGAUGAAUUACCCUACGGGUGACUUGGAAGUCAUGAUUACCAUUCUUGCUGUGAAGUUAUGAAGGCAUUAUAUUUGAUAAGAAUGCAAGAUUUUACAAAUCAAAAGAGUCUUCAAUAUCCAUUACUUGGAAGGAUUUUGAUAUGAGGCAACAAGGGUGGAUUGAAUUACUUAGUGAUUAUGAUUGUACGAUCAGGGCGAUCGUGAAUUGUUGUAACUGAAGCACUUGAUACGAAGACUGCAGUAAGAAUUAAUAUCUGGUACGCUUGCCAUGGUUAUCUUCUUGUGGAUUGGAAACCAACUAAAGUAAAGUUAAGAAUGAGUACAUGAUUCGUGAAUCAAAUGAUAUGUGGAUACAAGAAAACAAAAAGUAUGUGCCUAAUGCUGAGGAUUUGAAGCAAGCAAAUAUUGGACGAAGUUCACUGUUCAACUUCUGCAAUAUUCCAAAAGUAAUAAGAUUUAUCAUACCAUUCGACAGUUUUAUUUGGUCAGCAGAUUGAGGCAGAAAGAGAUAAACCUUUGGAUUGAGAUAACUAUUUUCUGUUUCGCAGUGGAAAUGGAAAGAUAUUACUUUGGAUUAUGUGUACAAGUUUCCUUGUACAUAGGAUGGUUAUGAUCGAAUUUGAAGUGAUAGUUGAUCAAUGUACCAAGUUAGUACAAUUACUCCAGUGCUGAGUAAUAACUUUUUCCCAGACAGGGCAACGGUACUUAAUGUAUUUUGUGUUCGAUGCGUUGUCACUAAGUGACAGAGUCGUCUCAUGGAAUUAUGGUGCAACUAUUGAGAAUUAAAUUGGAUUCGACUUGAUAAGGAACCAAGGACGACUUUGGAUUGGAAAAAGAAGGUCCUAAGAAUUAAAACAGGGUAAGUGGUAAAAGUUUUGUGAAGAAAUUAUUCGGUGGAAGAAAUUACGUGGGAGAAAGAGAAUCGGAUGAGAGAGAUUUACCCGAGGCUAUUGUAUGAGUAUGGUUGAUUUAGUUGGUUGCUGGAAUUUCAGGGACGAAAUUCUAUAAGGAGGGAAGAUUGUCACAGCCCGUCCCGGGAUUUUUCAUUCCGAGGACGUGAAAUUUCAAAAAUGACCUUAAACGAGAUUAAGGUGUGUAAAGAGAUGACAUUUGUUUUAUUUAAAGUUCCUAAACUAUGGUUAAUUUGUGUUAGGGACUAAAACUAGGUUGUAAUGUUGUGUUUGGGUUAAGGUGGGAUCCUCAUACCUCAAAGCACUCCCUAAAACCCGUAACCUUUCCUUCUCUCUCUUCUUCUUCCAUUUCAGAUCUCUCUCUCUCUCACCCUCUCGAACACACGGCAACCACCAAGACCACCACAAAAACACCCUAAACUUCCACCAACGACGGAUUUAAGAGUGCCAUCGUACUCCUGAAGACCAUACGAUCACGAUGAUACCCAUUUCAAGUAAGUUUUCACUUCGAAAACCCUAGUUUCUAAAGUUACCGUGAAUGUGUACUGUUCAUGAGCUUUGAAUUGGUUGUGUUUUAGGCCAAACCAAGCUCAUAGUGAGCUUUAGGAAGUCCCAAGGAAGCUCGGAGUGCUUCGUUGGAAGUUUUUGGACGUAAAAACACGGAGAUCGACAAGUUCAAAGUUUGGCCGGAGCUUUCGAGGCAUUUUUCCGGCGAAUCCCCGGCGAUUUAGGAGUUGAGUUGAGGUAGGUAUCAAUCUCUUCGUCUCGUCAAGUACUACAACUUUCCUUUUUGUUUCACUCAAUUUCGUUGAGUAUUGAAGAAGUUAUACUCAUUUGAAAAAUACCCAGUUUCCGGCGACCUCCGAGGCUUUCGAGGCAGUUUCCGGCCAAACCACGGCGAACUAGGUGUUGUGCAAGGUACCAUUCUCUUUGUCUCUUCAAGGGCUACAACUUUCGUUUUUGAAUCACUUGAUUUCGUUGAGAAAUGACAAAGUUAUGGCAAUUUGAAAAACUGCCCGGAAAACGGCCGCCGGAAAAACCAGUCCGGCGACCCAAGGAAGAAGAAGGUGCUACAGUAAAAAUAAAAAAAUAAAAAUAAAAUUAUUUUAAAAAUAUGUCGACGUCCGUGACGUCGAGUAGAUCACUGUGGUAUAUUCAUAUACCUAAAUUGAACACCGUAUGAGAAAGUUAUUGAAGAUUGUUGGUUAGGUGUUCAAAUAACGUUUUAUAGUUUUUCACAUUUAGGUGAAAAUGUGAAUUGAUGAUCUGACCGUUGGAUCAUCACCAAACUUUGAUACGUUAUAAUACGUAAUAUUUGAGGAUUAUUGGAACUUACGGAUUGGGAAUCCGAGUUACGGAUCUUCCGGAAUUGGAAUUGUAAGUCCAUAAUAUAAAAUGUUAACCGUCACUUAGUUUUGGAAAUUGACGGAGAUCCGACC